rnacentral:rRNA from 1 species
GGUCAAGCUACAAAGGGCUCAUGGCGGAUACCUUGGCACACAGAGGCGAUGAAGGACGUGGUUACCUGCGAUAUGUCUCGGGGAGCUGGAUACACGCUUUGAUCCGGGAAUUUCCGAAUGGGGCAACCCUUAGAACGGCCAGCUGAAUACAUAGGCUGGCACGAGCCA